CACGGACCAAGGAGUCUGACACGUGUGCGAGUACCCGGGUGGCAAGCCCGCGUGCGCAAUGAAAGUGAAGGGCGUUCGGCGCCAACCGACCUUGAUCUUCUGUGAAGGGUUUGAGUGGAGCACACUUGUUGGGACCCGAAAGAUGGUGAACUAUGCCUGAAUAGGGUGAAGCCACCGGAAACGGUGGUGGAGGCUCGUAGCGGUUCUGACGUGCAAAUCGAUCGUCAAAUUUGGGUAUAGGGGCGAAAGACUAAUCGAACCAUCU
rnacentral:rRNA from 1 species